rnacentral:misc_RNA from 1 species
ACAUGAAUCAGAAGGGCGAUAAGUAUGAGAGACGAUGAACUGUACCACUCUAGAAACAAGCUUAUCAACCCCAACAUCUGCCGUUGUAUCUACAACCAACUUCGGUACAUCACCAACAUCAUAAUCAGUGCACCCAUCGUACUCUUCCAGUAACCUCUGGAGAUCUUGCCACGUGGAAGGCUUAUGCCAACUGGCUUGAUGAGCAGCGCCGCGUUGUUCUAGUCUGCGACGCCACUGAUCCUCAUCCAACGGCUUACAUUCAAUGAUCACAAGGCGUGCCCCGGCGGAUGAUGCCAAAAAUCCUAAUUGAUCGAGGUGUGUCUUACGAGAGAGAGGAGAAUCAAGUAUGACGCUGAGGCCGAGUCGAAGCUGCGUGGAAGCGAUUUGCCAGAUGACGUGAUAGGAAAGAUCGUUGAGAAGCUUGGAGAUGGAAGCAAUGGAGGAUCGCGAAGAGUUUUGGAGAGAGAAAGUGCAGUGGCGAACAUCGUCUUUGUCUAUGAGAGGGAUUUUAAGAAAGGAAGCUAAGGAUUGGGCCAAAGUGCUCUUGCCCGUACCUGGAUGGCCUUUCAUUGCUAUUAUCAUCUUCGCUUGCCCUAAAUCUACCAUCUCUCUCUCUCCCUCUCCCUCUCUCGAUAUGUCGGUGAAGAUGACAGUAAAGACGAGCGUUGGAGCUAAGUUUUCGAAGAUUUCUGUGAAUGUUACCUUAAGUUUAUGGAUAAUCGGAUAAGAAGAAACCUAACCCAUAAAAUAG